rnacentral:lncRNA from 1 species
GAAAGGCUGUUGUACUGCCUCUUGCCUCCUCCCGGCCCUGUUCAUCUGCGGCUUCAAGCCUCCGCCUCUCCCAGACUCUAGAAGUAAGGAACCAAGCGCCUCACUGGUGGUGUGGAAGAACUGGGAUUCCCCACAGUGCAGUGGAAAUUCCUGGGAGUCUCGAACCACAUAUUUUCCAUCGACUACAUCCAAAGCUCUGCAAAGAACGGAACCACAGUCAUGUCAAUACACUAUGAACAAUGCCAAAAUCUCAAGAAACCCAAAGGCAUAUUUCUCCAUGUAUUAAUAUAUUUCCAGUCAGCCCAAAUAAUGAAUCAUUCUUCAAAACCUACACGGCGUUGUAGAUAAUUUGGCGCUCUCAUAGCACAUUUAUAAAUAAACCUGGAUGACUUCACCCUGUGCCUAACUGAAUUCUUUUAAAUCCUAUGCAGAAAACAAAUUAGAGAUAGAUAGAGGUAGACAGAAACUAGAUGGAGAGACAGAUUUUGGCAUGAAAGUAAUCCAAUUUCAUUUUCCAGUUUCCUGGUUGUUCUAUGUCGUGGCUUUUAAGAAAUAACAAAAAGAAAUUUGUAAGUUUCCUGAACACUGGAAAUAAAGUGGGAACUGAAUCCCAGUUAGAGAAACAAUCUAGACUAUGCCAGGAAAUGGGAACUGUUCCUAGGAUUAUAAUAUUUAUCAGAUUCAAAAGGAAUGGAAACUAAUAAAGGCAGAAAGAAUGUUUUACAGACUCUGAUGGUUGCCUACCCCAAAGCCAUUCCCUUUAUCCAACCCUUCACUGUUCUCCCACCUCCCCCAUACACACUGCCUUUGCUAAUAAUCCUAAAUUUGUUCAGCAAUUCAUCCUCCAUAUGCCUCAGAGAAAGCUGCUCCCAGCCCCAGUAGUCAGUCGGGAUUGCUCUAACCCUGGUGUCCAGUUUCCCUCACCAGUAACUGAUUUAGGCAAAUGCCCAUAUGUAACUGUCUUGCUUAUGUUACCACAUUGAUUGAUGUCUCCCUGACCCUCUAAAAUGUUCAUACUUUGCCCUGCUUCUCUGGCCCAGUCCUGACCAAUGGGAUGUGAGAGGCGUCUGCUGAAGAAAUGGGGGAAAAGGUCUUCUACAAGAAGAGAAAGUUUCCCUUUCCUGCAGGCCAGUGUCAUGCCUGCAUGUGAUGAAUAUGAUAGAACAUCUUGGGACCAUGUGCAGGAUUAGCCUAAGGAGACUAGAUUGAGGAAAAAGCAGAGAGGAAAUACCUAUCUCUUGAUUUCUUGAAAUGAGAAGCAGAAUUACCUAUCUCUGGAGUUCUUGUUGUGUUAGAUAAUAAACGUCCUAUUCUUC